rnacentral:lncRNA from 1 species
AAGUAGGAGAGCACACAUUGGGAGGCUCAACCGCCAUUUCCCUCUCGGCUCUCUAAGAGGGUGGGCAGAUCUGGAUUCUAAGCCAUUUCACAGCAAACACGCGUCUCUAACCACCAGCAUUGGUUUAACUGGGGCUGCUUCCAAACCAGGUCCUCUCCUGCCUGCUACUUCCUUAAAAAGAAGCAAAACCGCCGAGGAUUUUGCUGUAGGACCCGAGGGAACCCCAGGCUUUGUCCCUUGAGAAUGGGGUUCUCCAAAGAAACCCAUGUAAAUCACUACAGAUCGUUGCCAUGGGGACAGCAUACACUCACAGGCAGCCAAAGGCAAGACUGAGGAUGGAUCAUGUGACCAGAUGGCUGCCAGUGGUCCCUGGCAGUUUGAGAGAGAAAAUCCAAAAGAUGGAGAGAGUGGAAGCAUCAAAAGAUAAAACACACAAGAGACACAGGAGAAGAGUUCUGGGGACCACAGGAGGAAGGGCAGAAAGGACAUCUGGCGAGCACGUGAAGGAAAGACAUCGCACUAGCACGUGGAGGAGAAGACAGCGGGAGGGGGGCUGGGGGAAGCACGCGGAGGAGAGGACAUGGGGCGAGCGCGUGGAGGAGAGGAUAUUGGGAGAGCAAGUGGAGGAGAGGACAUGGGGCGAGCAGGUGGAGAAGAGACCAUUGGGUGAGCAUGUUGAAAGAACAUGGGGCGAGCGCGUUGAAAGCAAGAAAGACAAGAGUAAGGCAGAAGGAGCGAGCAUGAGCGAGCUGUGCGCCAAGAGAAUGAGAAGGAUGGAGACCUGUUCCUAGCAAAACCAGGGGAAGGGGGGACCUAAUAAGAAGCAAUUAGAAGGAAAGUGAAAAGACUUAUUCUAGGAGUUUGGUGUUAAAAAGCAAAUGAAGUGGAAAUUUUGUAAGUGUUAAACUCUACCCAAAAACAGUAUGAGGGGAAAUUUUCACACAGUAUAACUUAAAACAAGU